GAUUAUGUUUUAAGAAUGUUUUUGCAGGAAUAAUUCAAGACUUUAAGACUCCAUGUCUAAGUCAUAGAGUUUGUAUUAAGGUUGUAAUAGUGUAAAUUUCUUUUAUUGGAUCGAUCAUGCAGGAGAUUAUCGUUUGGUGAUUGCGAUGAUCUUCUUUUUAUUAUUUAUGAGUUGUGUACGAACUUUGUAAUAUAUUUUGUCACGAAAUUGCCAAAGGGGGAGAUUGUUAAGAAUUUUAUAGGUUGGCGGAUUUCGUAGUGUUGAAAUGGAGUCUUGAAGAGUUGAUUACAGAAGAUUGAAGAAAAGAUCUAAAUUGAAGAAAAAAAGACUCACUCGUCAAAUUCGGCACCUAAGGUAUGAAGAAAAGAUCAUUUGUGAUGAAGAUAUUUGAUUAGAAUAAGUUCAGAAGGCUUAGAUUGCUUUAAAAAU
rnacentral:lncRNA from 1 species